CCAACCACCAGAUUCCAAUCUAUGUCGGCGUCAUGCCCACCACGCACGCCACCCAUUCCCCCUUCCCGUGCAGCACCAGCCGUACCCCGAAGCGCUGCCUUCCGCCUGUUGCUCCGCCCACCGUCGAAUCCGUUUCUCGUCCAUCACCAUUCUUGGUAGUUGGAGCCCAUCGCGGUUCGUCGUCCUCAUAGUCGCCAUGCCGCGCUCCUCCCGGCGUUGUCCUCACCAUCACCUAGCCGCAUCCAUGUUGGUGUCAGCCGCCAUCCGAAGAUCUGUCGCGUGUUCCAUCGCUGCACCGCCCCGCCACCAGAGAUCCAGAGAGGAGACAAUAUGUAUGGUUCAAUAUCCCCUAGGAAUAAAUUUCUCCUUUUUUUAGUUCAUUAAAGCCUCUCAGUGGAUUUUUGAGUGAUGAAGUGUGUAAUAUUGGGGAGGAGCAAUGGUAUGGUUCACACGUUCAUCUUGCGAUUAUGGUGGGUUAGGAGGUUCAUUCCGAAUUUUAAGACAACAACUUCAAACGGCUCUUCCUGAAUCUUCGGGACCGCUAUUUCAGGAGUAUAUAACCCCCGCCUAUUGGAUGACCGACCCAUGUCACCCCAUUUGCCAUGGUCGCCGCCACUUGACGGGAUGGUGGUGACAUGAGUGGAACCACAAUGGCGACUUCUCUAGCCUUGGUACAGAUCACAUCGCUUUUUCAUCUUUGCUGGUUUGUGUACAUUUGAUCUAUUUUCACUCUGUCUGAGUACGUGCUUAGUGAUUAGCACACACAUCAUAACGAUAACUGUCAACCUUUCUUUCCUGGACUAUUAUUUCUUACUUCUGUAAGAAAGAAAAACAUGUGGAAGGGGGUUCUUUUCAUUCUUCAUUAUGAUAUCUCGUUGCAGCAAGUUUUAGUUCUACAAUUAGAUGAAUUGUCAUUUCUUUCAAACUGAGAUAUAAAGGCAGGUGCAUAUAGUACAAAAUAGUGUAUACCUAACUGGUUCUUAAUCUAUACAGAUGGUUUAUCAGGUAUUGCGUGCAGGUUUGUGCGGAUGGCACAGAUUUGGAGGUCCAGCUGCUACCUGCAUGUGCAAAAAGUUCAUGAUUUGCACCUCUAAUAUAACAUGGUAACUGGAUAUUCCGUCUAACGAUGAAAAUGUGGAGCAUGGAUACUAUGAUGGAGACAAAGAACUUGACAUCAAGUAUGAGAAUACCAUGAGAGGAGCCUUAGUCUUAUGGUGAACCUUAGAUACUACAUUGCCGGGCGAAAGGAGUGGAUAUUUGAAAGUGGAUGCACCGAUCACAUGACCGAAGAUAAAGACAUGUUUCAUGAGAGUACACCAAACCAUGGACCACAAACGUAUGUGACCUUUGUUGACAAAUCCAAGGAUAAGUUGCUUGGUCUCGGUAAGAAUAUUCUAAAGAUUGGUUGUGGCAUAGAAGGCUAGGACAUGUUGGUAUGUCUAAUCUUAACAGUCUUAUCAAAGGUAAUCAUAUUCAUGGUGUUAAAUAUGUUAUAUUUAACAAAUAUAGACUUUGUAGUGCUUGUCAAGCAGGAAAACAAGUCGGUGGAAGUCAUC